AUUGAACGCUGGCGGCAUGCCUUACACAUGCAAGUCGAACGGUAACAGGUCCUCGGAUGCUGACGAGUGGCGAACGGGUGAGUAAUACAUCGGAACGUGCCUAGUAGUGGGGGAUAACUACUCGAAAGAGUGGCUAAUACCGCAUGAGAUCUACGGAUGAAAGCAGGGGAUCGCAAGACCUUGUGCUACUAGAGCGGCCGAUGGCAGAUUAGGUAGUCGGUGGGAUAAAAGCUUACCAAGCCGACGCUCUGUAGCUGGUCUGAGAGGACGAUCAGCCACACUGGGACUGAGAAACGGCCCAGACUCCUACGGGAGGCAGCAGUGGGGAAUUUUGGACAAUGGGCGCAAGCCUGAUCCAGCAAUGCCGCGUGCAGGAUGAAGGCCUUCGGGUUGUAAACUGCUUUUGUACGGAACGAAAAGCCCCGGGUUAAUACCCUGGGGUCAUGACGGUACCGUAAGAAUAAGCACCGGCUAACUACGUGCCAGCCGCCGCCGUAA
rnacentral:rRNA from 1 species